UUCCCGGUCGGGGACGAGGGUGACGAGGUUGGUGCAUGGUUGUCGUCAGCUCGUGUCGUGAGAUGUUGGGUUAAGUCCCGCAACGAGCGCAACCCUCGACCUUAGUUGCCAGCAUUCAGUUGGGCACUCUAGAGGGACUGCCGGUGUCAAACCGGAGGAAGGUGGGAUGACGUCAAGUCCUCAUGGCCUUUAUGUCUAGGGCUACACACGUACUACAAUGGCCGGUACAAAGGGCAGCCACUCAGCGAUGAGGCGCUAAUCCCAUAAAGCCGGUCUCAGUCCGGAUCGCAGUCUGCAACUCGACUGCGUGAAGUUGGAAUCGCUAGUAAUCGUAGAUCAGCAUGCUACGGUGAAUACGUUCCCGGGCCUU
rnacentral:rRNA from 1 species